rnacentral:rRNA from 1 species
AUAUUGGGCUAAAGCAUCCGUAGCGGUUCUACAAGUCUUCCGUUAAAUCCACCUGCCUUAACAGAUGGGCGUGCGGUAGGAUACUAUAGAGCUAGGAGGCGGGAGAGGCAAGCGGAUACUUYAGUGGGUAGGGGUGAAAAUCCGUUGAUCCAUUGAAGAGCACCCAGUGGUCGAAGGCGGCUUGUCAGAACGCACUYGACKGUGAGGGAUGAAAGCUGGGGGAGCAAACCGGAUUAUAUACCCGGGUAGUCCUCAGCCUGU